CGCAUUUCCCGCGACGUUCACCAAACCCCAGCUACCCCAAGGCUGCCUGCCUCUCUCAUCUCCACCCUCUCUCCCUGGGAGACUCGGAGACGGGCAUUUUGGCUAUCCACGUGGCUUUCCAGGAAAGCAACACAGCCGUACGUAGAGAUGUCAGGAUAAAGCUGUUCCCAGCAGCAUGAUUUACAGUAGCAAACACUUCAACGGGACAACAUGUCUGACAACAGUGGCAAAAGUGAUAACCCACCCAGGAUGAACUACGCCUCAGCGCGAUGCUCCAGGCAGGAAACACACGGACCACGCCCACACGCUGUGGCAGGUCAGGGACGCAGAGCUGGGUCCAGGACUGGGCUGCGAGGAUGCCCCGGUCCAGCGAAAGGGAACCGCCUGGAAGCUGGUAGCAGAGUGAGAGGCGGGGCCCCUUCUCUGGCUCUUUGGCCGUUUCUGGGCUGGGUUAUUCUCGAGGGCUGCCGUGCCCACUGGGCUCUGCCGAUGAAGGGAGGAGGCCUGUCCCUGAACCAGCUGGGGUAGCCGUGAAGCCAGACCCUCCCGUUUGGAGUGCCGCAACCCUGUAGCUCUGAGCACCUCUCCCAAAGGUACCAGUCUCCCAUGCUGACCGGGAAAAGGGUGGGGAGCGGGGUUCUGGUCUCUCUGCCCCUGUGCCACUUUCCCCACCGGAGGAGCCCCUCCUUGGUGAGUUGCAGGGACUGGGGGGAGGGCGGGGGGGGCAGACCCUGUGCCAGCGCCAGAGCACUGUAGCGCAUCUCCUGCCCGGCUUGGCCUUGUGAGGCUGGGGCUAUUGUUUACCGCCACCACUCUCUCCAAACUGGGGAAACUGAGGCUCAGAGAGAAAUGACUUGCCCAAAGUCCCCGGGCCAGUAGCCAGUGGAGCUCAGACUUGGCCUCAUGCCUGGAUUCUCACCACCUUCAGACUUCAGUUCCUGGGAGCUUCUGGGCCCCAAAUAGCUUGUUCAUGGAGCGCAGAUUUGGGGGCAAGGGCUGUGUUUCUCCUGUGUCUGUUGUCUGCUCUGGGUUCUUGUGCGAUUUGUAAUCUACUGCACAAUCAGGGGGCCUGUCGGCUGGGCUUGGAGGUUAAAGGUGAGCUUCUCCGAGGAGAGGGCCCCGCCUGCUUUGGGGGCUGCUGGGACCCCAGCGUCGCCCUCUCCCUCCGCCAUCGGGCCCCCUCCCUCUAGCCAGCUGGCCUCACAGAGGUGCCAACAAGGAGACCGGAUUGGCUUGGUUGCUUUUCCCUCCCUGACUGAAGGGGUUCUGCAGCAGACUGAGGAAAUGAAAAAGAAGAGCCUGAGACUGUUACAAAAAAAUUUUCUUUAACCAAGUCACAAAUGAGAAAGAUGAGGCAGCAGCAGGUUAAGGACACUUUGUGACGUCGAGUUUUUAUCACUCGGCACUUCCAUGACCGCGAGUGUCACAAUUUAUGGUCCCUGUGGCCAGGCAACCGCAGAGCCCGUGGAUUUACCCCCGCGUGUGGAGCUGCGCUGAAUGCAGUCGGCACACAGGAGCCCAGUGUUGGGGCCGCAGCCGUGUACCCGUCCUCCUGCCGGCCUCGCUGCGGUUUCUGUUAAAAAGUAAGACCCUGGGGUAAAAGAAAAGAAAGCUUUUAGAAUGAAAUGUAUUUGCAUGUCUAUUUAUAUAACUAUAAAGAAAGAAAUUGUAAUGUCACUGGUGGAAGGCUUUGGAGUAAAAGACGAAGAGGUAAAGAAUUGCUUGCUUUCUCUUUCUCUCUUUCUCUGUCUCUGUCUCUCUCUCUCUCUCUGUUUUUCUAUAUUCUCCAAACCUUCUGUAACAAUGUGUAUUACUUUUAUAAUAAAAGGAGAUAAAAUACACUUAUAUUAAAAGUAGUCAGACUGCACUUGAGGCUCAAAUGAUUACCAUGACCAUCAAGGGUACUUGUUACUGAGUAGCUGGUAUGUGCCUGAUCUUCUGCCAAGCUCUCCCACCGUCCCGGCUGCUCAGAACACCCUGCAGUGGGAGCUGUCACCCCCUGCACGCGGGAGCCGAGGCCCUGAGACGGCAGCCGGCGCCCACACGGCGGAGCUGGGGGCUGAGCGUGAAUGAUUCCGACUCUCAGAGCUGUACUAUUUCCAUAACAACUUCCUGCCUCUUUCAGGUGAACGUUGUCUCUAAUUACAAUGAUCUUCAAUUAAAAUAUUUUAUCUUGUUUAGGUAGAAUCUGAAAUUAUUCCUGUAAACAGAAUUUAGUAAAAAAAAAAAAUCUUUUUUUUUUUCCUACUUUAUGAUCCUGUUAACCAAUGGCCAAAGUAGGGAUCAGCUACAUAAUUUUCAGGGCCCAGGGCAAAAUGGAAAUGCAGGGCCGCUUGUUCAAAAAAAGAUGAAGAAUUCUAAGAUGGGGACAGCAGAGCAGUGAGCACGGGGCUGCAGCACAGGUCACACGCCCAUGAAGCCUGCUGGGACAAGAUCUUGACGGUUUUUGAUGGAGCUAGGGUGAGCGACAUCCCCUUUUGGGACAAACAGCACCAGUGACCAGAUGUCAGAAAGCAAAUGGGUGCAAGCUCCAGGAAGACGUGAGGUUCUCAACGUGUUUUCCGGUCCUGAAAACACCAAGUGGCGGCAGCUGAGGAUGGGAGAGGGCGAGCCAGGCAGGCUUCCCUCCCCAGGAGAGGGCCAAGCCUCUGUGCUAGGAGCUUUCACGUCAGGUGAGGGGUAUCUACUGCAUAUUGUUGUGAAAUGUCACACCCUGGCACUGAGCCUCAAGACUCGAUGGAACUUCAACCGCUCUGCUGGAGUGUGCACAGCUGGCCUGCCUACAUCCUGGGGAGAAAUGAGAAGAGCCGACGCCCAUGCUUGCUCCUGUAAAAACACAAUAAGAAACCUCAUUCCACUCCCUCUGGGAAAGGAUCCUGGGGUUCACUGGUGGGUGGAUUUUACCCCCAAA